rnacentral:rRNA from 1 species
AGUGAACGCUGGCGGUAGGCCUAACACAUGCAAGUCGAACGGCAGCACAGUAAGAGCUUGCUCUUACGGGUGGCGAGUGGCGGACGGGUGAGGAAUACAUCGGAAUCUACUUUUUCGUGGGGGAUAACGGCGGGAAACUUACGCUAAUACCGCAUACGACCUACGGGUGAAAGCAGGGGAUCUUCGGACCUUGCGCGAUUGAAUGAGCCGAUGUCGGAUUAGCUAGUUGGCGGGGUAAAGGCCCACCAAGGCGACGAUGCGGAGCUGGUCUGAGAGGAUGAUCAGCCACCCUGGAAGUGCGACACGGUCCAGACGCCUACGGCAGGCAGCAGUGGGGAAUAUUGGACAAUGGGCGCAAGCCUGAUCCAGCCAUACCGCGUGGGUGAAGAAGGCCUUCGGGUUGUAAAGCCCUUUUGUUGGGAAAGAAAAGCAGCAGGUUAAUACCCCGCUGUUCUGACGGUACCCAAAGAAUAAGCACCGGCUAACUUCGUG